rnacentral:rRNA from 1 species
AAUCAACGCUGGCGGCGCGCUUAACACAUGCAAGUCGAACGAGAAGGCCCGCAAGGGUGAGUAAAGUGGCGUACGGGUGAGUAACACGUGGGUAAUCUACCUUUUGGUGGGGAAUAACGCUGGGAAACCGGCGCUAAUACCGCAUAAGCUCGAAAGAGGAAAGGAGCAAUUCGCCGAAAGAGGAGCCCGCGGCUGAUUAGCUAGUUGGUGAGGUAAAGGCUCACCAAGGCAAUGAUCGGUAGCCGGCCUGAGAGGGCACACGGCCACACUGGCACUGAAACACGGGCCAGACUCCUACGGGAGGCAGCAGUGGGGAAUCUUGCACAAUGGGGGAAACCCUGAUGCAGCGACGCCGCGUGAGUGAUGAAGCCCUUCGGGGUGUAAAGCUCUUUCGGCAGGGACGAUAAUGACGGUACCUGAAGAAGAAGCUGCGGCUAACUACGUGCCAGCAGCCGCGGUAAUACGUAGGCAGCGAGCGUUGUUCGGAGUUACUGGGCGUAAAGAGUGCGUAGGCGGUUUUCUAAGUUUGGUGUGAAAUCUCCCGGCUUAACUGGGAGGGUGCGCCGAAGACUGGAAGGCUUGAGUAUGGGAGAGGUAAGCGGAAUUCCUGGUGUAGCGGUGAAAUGCGUAGAUAUCAGGAGGAACACCUGCGGUGUAGACGGCUUACUGGACCAUAACUGACGCUGAGGCACGAAAGCGUGGGUAGCAAACAGGAUUAGAUACCCUGGUAGUCCACGCCCUAAACGAUGCAUACUUGGUGUGGGUAGUUCAUUCUAUCCGUGCCGGAGCUAACGCGUUAAGUAUGCCGCCUGGGGAGUACGGUCGCAAGGCUG